AAGGUCAAGCUGCUAAUCCUCGAAGUCGUACGCCAGGGCCAGAGUCUGUUUUUGCCCCGUCUGAAGUGGCGAUUGCGACAGUCAGUGCAAUAACGUGCGGAAGACUGCUGGCACUCUACCAGGAAUCAUGACACAGAGGCACCAACCCACAGUGGCAGUGAUUUGAUUGCUCACCACGUGCAUUCUUUGGAUUUUAAGAAAAAGUAUGAAGGCUUCAUGCCCAGCGUGGAGUCCAAUCUGAGGCUUGAACUUUGGACCCUGAGAUCAAAACCUAAGCUGAGAUCAAGAGACAGAUGCCUAACUGAGUGAGCCACCCGCAUGCCACAGGGGCCUUUCGAGAAGUACAGUCUUAAUGGAACACUUUCGUGUCGGUCGCUCAGGCUGCCCUCCUCUCGCCCGUGGCUACUCUUCUGGGGAGGAGAAAGCGUGCCUUUUGGCUGGAACUUAGUACCCUGGUUGGAUCGGUCUCCUGAGAAGUCGAGGAGUCCAAGCCCGCAGCUGAGCCUCAGAGCUCCUCUCCACCAGCUGCCAGGCUGUGGCUCGACCCCGGGGUCCCAGGAGUGAAUUUGUCAGAGUAAAGGCCGCUUUGGGCAGCCUCUUGGCAGCCUGCCAACAGUCUCCUUCUGGCGACGCUCCAUCUGUGUGAGCGCCACAUAGAGCAAGAUGUGCGGCCCGAGGAGAAAGCGAAGAAGGGUGACAGCAAGGAGCCAUCACCAAGCCGAGACUCCAUGCCCAACGUGGGGCUUGAACUCACA